CCCGAGGCUGUCGCGGGCGGUUAGGUCCGGCGGGAGCUUCUGUUUCACUGGCGCGCCCACUAUGACGAUCACCUACAGCUGCAUUGCUAAUGGCCGAAUGGUCUUAGCGGAGUUGGCCCUGACCGGCGGCUCCUAUCAGGAAGCAGCGUCAACAGUGCUUAGACUAGUGCUUCUUAGAGCUGAACCAAAGACCGUAAUUCAAAUGGGAAGCUUCGUCUACCAUACUCUCUUUAUUGAUGGAAUCACUUACCUAUGUGCCUCAGACAAUGCCCUGGAUACUGUAACACCAUCUGCAUUUCUCAAAAAUGUAAAAUACAAUAAAAACCAAGAUAACAGCUCUAUAUCCACCCUGAGGAGUCAAGUAACUGAUGUAAAAAAUGCUAUGACCCAAAAUAUUGAUAAAAUUUUGGAGAGCGAAGAAAGAUCAAAUAUCUUCCCCGACAGUACAGAUGAUCUUCAAACAGCUGUAAGUGAUGCACACCUGUCUCGGUACCCACACAGUGCACUAAGCCAUAGGAUCACUGCCCUUGAGACAGAGUGCCAAAAGCAAGAACAUACCCAGGGAUACUGUGAGAUAAUCCUGUCACCAGACUAUGGGUUUAUCGAAAAAUUAUUGGAAUGCAACUAAAAUGUUAAAAGAGAAAUUAGAAAACAAUCCAAAUUUAAAACUUAUUAAAAAGUAGGAGGUAGUCAUUUGAAUAACAGAAAGAUUUCUUACAUUAAGAAAUACACAGGUUAUUCAACACAUAAAUUGCAAG
rnacentral:lncRNA from 1 species